rnacentral:rRNA from 1 species
AUUGAACGCUGGCGGCGUGCCUAACACAUGCAAGUCGAGCGGUAACAGGUGUAGCAAUACAUGCUGACGAGCGGCGGACGGGUGAGCAAUGCUUGGGAAUCUGCCUAUUAGUGGGGGACAACCCGGGGAAACUCGGGCUAAUACCGCAUACGCACCAUGGUGGAAAGCCGGGGACCGCAAGGCCUGGCGCUAAUAGAUGAGCCCAAGUCGGAUUAGCUAGUUGGGAGGUAAUGGCUCACCAAGGCUAAGACGGGUAGCUGAUCUGAGAGGAUGAUCAGCCACACUGGAACUGAGACACGGUCCAGACACCGUACGGGUGGCAGCAGUUUCGAAUCAUUCACAAUGGGACGAAAGCCUGAUGGUGCGACGCCGCGUGAGGGAUGAAGG